UACGUAGGGGGCUAGCGUUGUCCGGAUUUAUUGGGCGUAAAGAGCGUGUAGGCGGCCAGGUAGGUCGGUUGUGAAAACUGGAGGCUCAACCUUCAGAGGUCGACCGAAACCAUCUGGCUAGAGUCCGGGAGAGGAGAGUGGAAUUCCUGGUGUAGCGGUGAAAUGCGCAGAUAUCAGGAAGAACACCCGUGGCGAAAGCGGCUCUCUGGAACGGUACUGACGCUGAGACGCGAAAAGCGUGGGGAGCAAACAGG
rnacentral:rRNA from 1 species